rnacentral:rRNA from 1 species
GACGAACGCUGGCGGCGUGCCUAAUACAUGCAAGUAGAACGCAGUUGCGAACGGGUGAGUAACGCGUAGGUAACUGCCUCAUAGCGGGGGAUAACUAUUGGAAACGCUAGCUAAUACCACAUACUGUGAGAUGUACCUGCGUUGGAUUAGCUAGUUGGUGGGGUAAAGGCUCACAAAGGCGACGGUACAUAGCCGACCUGAGCGGGUGAGCGGGCACACUUGGAAUGAGGCACGGCCCAGACGCCUACGGGAUGCAGCCGUAGGGAAUCUGCGGCAAUGGACGGAAGUCUGACCGAGCAAGGCCGCGGGAGUGAAUAAGGUUUUCGGAUCGUAAAGCUCUGUUGUUAGGGAAGCGGUAACUACCCAGAAAGGGACGGCUAACUACGUGCCAGCAGCCGCGGUAAUAC